rnacentral:rRNA from 1 species
AUUGCACUAAUAUUACCAAAACCUAAAACAAAACAUUUACCCCUAAAAGUAUAGGAGAUAGAAAUUAACUUCAGCGCUAUAGAGAAAGUACCGCAAGGGAAAGAUUGAAAGAAAUAAAAAAAGUAAAAAAUAGCAUAGAUUACACCUAUUACCUUUUGCAUAAUGAAUUAACUAGAACAAAAUUGACAAAAAGAACUUAAGUCAAUCCUCCCGAAACCAAACGAGCUACUUUUGAACAGCUGUUAAGAGCAAACUCGUCUAUGUAGCAAAAUAGUGAGAAGAUUUAAAAGUAGAGGUGAAAAGCCUAUCGAGCUUGGAGAUAGCUGGUUAUCCAAAUAAGAAUUUUAGUUCAACUAUAAAUUUUCCUAAAAGCUAAAUAAAUCUAAUGAAAAUUUAUAUGUUAACUUAAGGAGGAACAGCUCCUUAAAUAAGGAUACAUCCUUGAACAGAGAGUAAUUAGUAUAAUUACCAUUGUAGGCCUAAAAGCAGCCACCAAUUAAGAAAGCGUUAAAGCUCAACAAAACCCCACACAAUCUUAUUUCAAAAAUUUAUAACAACUCCUGUUCAAAACAUUGGAUUAAUCUAUAUAUUCAUAGAAGAAAUAAUGUUAAUAUGAGUAACAAGAAAAAUUUCUCCUUGCACAAGCUUAAAUAACCUAACCAAAUUAACAAUAAUAUAUAAAAUUCACUAAACUAGAACAUUUAUUAUAAAAAUUGUUAACCCAACUCAGGAGUGCAAUUAAAGGAAAGACUAAAAUAAAUAAAAGGAACUCGGCAAACAUAAAUCCCGCCUGUUUACCAAAAACAUCACCUCUAGCAUCACAAGUAUUAGAGGCACUGCCUGCCCAGUGACAUUACAGUUCAACGGCCGCGGUAUCCUGACCGUGCAAAGGUAGCAUAAUCACUUGUUCUUUAAAUAAGGACUAGUAUGAAUGGCGUAACGAGGAUUUAACUGUCUCUUAUUUACAGUCAGUGAAAUUGAUCUUCCCGUGAAGAAGCGGGAAUAAUAUAAUAAGACGAGAAGACCCUAUGGAGCUUAAAUUUAUUUACCUAAUUAAAAUAUUUAUGCCUAAGGGAAUAAAAAUAAAAAUCUAGGUAAAUAAUUUUGGUUGGGGUGACCUCGGAGAAAAACUAAACCUCCGAAUGAUAUUAGCUAAGACCCUACAAGUCGAAGCAACAUUCAUAAAUUGACCCAGAAUAUUCUGAUCAAUGGACCAAGUUACCCUAGGGAUAACAGCGCAAUCCUAUUUUAGAGUCCCUAUCGACAAUAGGGUUUACGACCUCGAUGUUGGAUCAGGACCCCCAAAUGGUGCAACCGCUAUUAAAGGUUCGUUUGUUCAACGAUUAAAGUCCUACGUGAUCUGAGUUCAGACCGGAGCAAUCCAGGUCGGUUUCUAUCUAUUAAAAACUCCUCCCAGUACGAAAGGACAAGAGAAGUGAGGCCAAUAAAACUACUACGCCUCGAUAGCAAAAAAAUGAUAUUAUAUCAAUUUCAUAGCUAUCAUUUAUAUAACCCAAGAUAAGGGUUU